rnacentral:tRNA from 1 species
GGGGUUGUAGCUCAGUGGUAGAGCACUUGCCUCUCAUGUGAGAGGCACUGGGUUCAAUUCUCAGCAACACAU